rnacentral:rRNA from 1 species
UGACAUAUUCUGCUCAUAAGUCUUGACCAAAUCACGUGCCAGCAGUCGCGGCAAUACGUGGAAGACUAGUGUUAUUCAUCUUAAAUAGGUUUAAAGGGUACCUAGACGGUAAAUUUAGCCCCCAAAGGGUACAGAUAUACUAGAGUUUGAUGAGAGGGGGGUAGUACUGACGGAGGAGAGAUGAAAUUUUUUGAUACCGAUAUAAGAGACAGGUAUAGGCGAAAGCAACCCUUUAUGUAAAAACUGACGUUGAAGGACGAAGGCCCUGGUUACCAACAGGAUUAGAUACCCCAGCAGUCUGGGCAGACAAUGAUGAAUGUCAUAGAUUAGAUUAUAUUUAUUCUAUAAAUGAAAGUGUAAGCAUUCCACCUCAAGAGUAAUUUGGCAACAUUGAAACUGAAAUCAUUAGACCGUUUCUGAAACCAGUAGUGAAGUAUGUUGUUCAAUCUGUCGGCACACGGAAAACCUUACCACAACUUGAAUAUUUUUAUAUAUAUAAUUAUACAAGUGCUGCAUGGCUGUCUUUAGUUAAUGUCGUGAGAUUUUGGUUAGUUCCAUAAAAUUAAUGUAAACCCUUACUUUAUUUAUUUAUAAA